AUACUUACCUGGCAGGGGAGAUACCAUGACCCCGAAGGUGGUUUCCCCAGGGCGAGGCUCACCCAUUUCACUGGGGGUAUGCUGACCUUCUGCGAUUUCCCCAAAUGCCGGAAACUCGACUGCGAAAUUUGUAGUAGUGGGGGACUGCGUUCGCGCUCUCGCCUG